AUAUAUGUAACAUAGUUAAAAAGGUUCAGGUUAAAUCCUACUAAAUGUGAGUAUGGUGCCACCUACUGUCACAAAGUGUACCUGCAGCGAACGCUAGUAAUGACGAAGGAUUAUGGGUAAUCCUCAAAGUAAUGGAGGAUUUCCCUUGAGAAAGAUCAUGCGCUGUUUAUCCACAUGAGAUGACUACUCAACACUGUUUUCCUUUGUCAUAAAUGCAGAUGUGGAAUAAACCUGCUGUUACCACAAACCUGACGGUGUCCGAGAGAGUAUAUUAGGC